rnacentral:rRNA from 1 species
GUUAAGUAGACCGCCUGGGGAGUACGGCCGCAAGGUUAAAACUCAAAUGAAUUGACGGGGGCCCGCACAAGCGGUGGAGCAUGUGGUUUAAUUCGAUGCAACGCGAAGAACCUUACCUACUCUUGACAUCCAGAGAACUUAGCAGAGAUGCUUUGGUGCCUUCGGGAACUCUGAGACAGGUGCUGCAUGGCUGUCGUCAGCUCGUGUUGUGAAAUGUUGGGUUAAGUCCCGCAACGAGCGCAACCCUUAUCCUUUGUUGCCAGCGGUCCGGCCGGGAACUCAAAGGAGACUGCCAGUGAUAAACUGGAGGAAGGUGGGGAUGACGUCAAGUCAUCAUGGCCCUUACGAGUAGGGCUACACACGUGCUACAAUGGCGCAUACAAAGAGAAGCGACCUCGCGAGAGCAAGCGGACCUCAUAAAGUGCGUCGUAGUCCGGAUUGGAGUCUGCAACUCGACUCCAUGAAGUCGGAAUCGCUAGUAAUCGUGGAUCAGAAUGCCACGGUGAAUACGUUCCCGGGCCUUGUACACACCGCCCGUCACACCAUGGGAGUGGGUUGCAAAAGAAGUAGGUAGCUUAACCUUCGGGAGGGCGCUUACCACUUUGUGAUUCAUGACUGGGGUGAAGUCGUAACAAGGUAACCGUAGGGGAACCUGCGGUUGGAUCACCUCCUUA